CCGUAGCUCAGCUGGUAGAGCAGCUGAUUUGUAAUCAGCAGGUCGGGGGUUCGAAACCCUCCGGU
rnacentral:tRNA from 1 species